rnacentral:rRNA from 1 species
UACGAAGGGGGCUAGCGUUGUUCGGAUUUACUGGGCGUAAAGCGCACGUAGGCGGAUCGUUAAGUCGGGGGUGAAAUCCUGGAGCUCAACUCCAGAACUGCCUUCGAUACUGGCGAUCUUGAGUCCGGAAGAGGUGAGUGGAACUCCUAGUGUAGGGGUGGAAAUUCGUAGAUAUUAGGAAGAACACCAGUGGCGAAGGCGGCUCACUGGUCCGGUACUGACGCUGAGGUGCGAAAGCGUGGGGAGCAAACAGG